rnacentral:tRNA from 1 species
CGGGGUGUAGCGCAGUCUGGUAGCGCAUCUGCUUUGGGAGCAGAGGGUCGGCGGUUCGAAUCCGUCCACCCCGACCA